UUAGCUUCUGCGAAGCUACGAAUCGAAGCCCCAGUAAACGGCGGCCGUAACUAUAACGGUCCUAAGGUAGCGAAAUUCCUUGUCGGGUAAGUUCCGACCCGCACGAAAGGCGUAACGAUUUGGGCACUGUCUCAACGAGAGACUCGGUGAAAUCAUAGUACCUGUGAAGAUGCAGGUUACCCGCGACAGGACGGAAAGACCCCGUGGAGCUUUACUGUAGCCUGAUAUUGAAAUUCGGCACAGCUUGUACAGGAUAGGUAGGAGCCUUUGAAACGUGAGCGCUAGCUUACGUGGAGGCGCUGGUGGG
rnacentral:rRNA from 1 species